AGCUAAGGACAUUUUUGUGAUGAACAGUUUCAAAUGGGCACAAAAGAAGAGAGAAAAUAACAAACUAGUAUCAAUCAAGUUAAAAAGUUAUCAAGAUUUCCUUGCUUUAUUUUUUAUUUUCCCACCUCUGUUAAAAUCUUUAUGGGGAAACAAACACCACUUAAAUUUGCUCUUACGUACUUAAAUAUCUCUAAAAUAUAUGAAACUUUUCUUACAUAAAUGCAGUUCUAUUAUUACACUUAACAAUUUUAAUAAUUCAUUGGUAUCAUCUAAUACCUGGCCCAUAACCAUAUUUUCAUAAUUGUCUCAAAAAUGCCUUUUUACAGUUCGUUUGAGAUGGUGCAUGCAUUCUAUUCAGUUUUAUGUUUCUCAAAUCCCUUUUUUCCCCCUCAAAUUCUCUUUUAAUCUGGAGCAGACCUCCUUUCAUUUAAACAAUUCCUGCCAGUGAGCUAUUGCAGAAACGGGGUCACUUGUCUUAUGAACUUUUUCACAUUCUGGAAGUACCUGUUUGUUUCCACGUGGUCGCUCAAAUUCUCCCUGUGUUUCUUGUAAAUGGAAGUCAACUUUCUAGUCUUGAUUAGACUCAAGAUCGUCUUGUCAAAGAAUAAUGCAACUCUAUUCAGUUUAAUUAAAAGCACAGCUGACCUUUCCUCACAUGUGAUGGAACCCCAUCAUGGCUCCAAGGCAAGGGGUGGUUUAUAGAAGCAAAACCCACAGCAUCUGAGGAACGGUGAAAUAUUAUUUUUUUGUGAAAGGAUUCCUUAACAUUUAUCAGGGGAACAAUUUUCUCAAAGCAAGGUGGCAUUUAUCAGGAAUGGGCAGUUGUCAGGGAAGGCAACUUUAGGUAUUUAUGAGUUUUCUGAGAAAUCCUGUGGCUGAAAGUGAUAUGUUUUGUUUCUGGGUAUGGUUCUCACUGGACUCUUGGCUGGACUUCUGCUGAACUCUCCUCCUUAGUGAUGAUGCUGAGGAAACUAACCGAAAGGGGGAAUCCUGGGACAAAGGCACAUGAGCCUGUUUCCUCACUGGAGAAGCUGUUCAGGAAGAGCUGCAGUCCCCUUGGAAGAAGAUCAACUAGCCGCUAUCCAUUGACAAGACACCACUGUGAAAAUCCCAGAAAUCCAGCGGUGAGGCAGAAGCACCCACUUCAAAGCACAGAGAUCCAGAAAGACCCAACCUUCUCUUGGGAGGUGAGGAGGAGCGGCUACACUCUGACUGCAUUGCCCCUCCCCUGGGACUGCACCGCGACACACCAAGGGGCCUCUCUGGGCCUCUGGGUUUUCCACUGGGGAAAACAAACAGCCCAACAUGGACAUCCAGCUUCUUUAUCAUUGCUUGGUGCUUCCCAAGAAGCCCAGGGAAACCUGCACGGCUUGACUACUGAGAAUCAGAUAGAAACAGAGGAUGGAAGAACUUACAGCAGCCAGCGCUGUCCCUGUUAGAGUGGCUACUAUCAAAAAGACAAGGAGUAACAAAAAUAUGGGGAAAGGGAACCCUCGCGUACUGUUGGUGGAAAUGUAAAUUGGCGCAGCCACUAUGG